ACGGGAGGCAGCAGUGGGGGAUAUUGCACAAUGGGGGAAACCCUGAUGCAGCGACGCCGCGUGGAGGAAGAAGGUUUUCGGAUCGUAAACUCCUGUCGUUAGGGACGAUAAUGACGGUACCUAACAAGAAAGCACCGGCUAACUACGUGCCAGCAGCCGCGGUAAAACGUAGGGUGCAAGCGUUGUCCGGAAUUACUGGGUGUAAAGGGAGCGCAGGCGGACCGGCAAGUUGGAAGUGAAAACUAUGGGCUCAACCCAUAAAUUGCUUUCAAAACUGCUGGCCUUGAGUAGUGCAGAGGUAGGUGGAAUUCCCGGUGUAGCGGUGGAAUGCGUAGAUAUCGGGAGGAACACCAGUGGCGAAGGCGACCUACUGGGCACCAACUGACGCUGAGGCUCGAAAGCAUGGGUAGCAAACAGGAUUAGAUACCCUGGUAGUCCAUGCCGUAAACGAUGAUUACUAGGUGUUGGAGGAUUGACCCCUUCAGUGCC
rnacentral:rRNA from 1 species